rnacentral:tRNA from 1 species
GGGCUUGUAGCUCAGUGGAUAGAGCGACGGCCUCCUAAGCCGUAGGUCGGCGGUUCAAGUCCGCCCAAGCUCGCCA